rnacentral:rRNA from 1 species
GCGUGAGUGAUGACGGCCUUAGGGUUGUAAAGCUCUUUCAGUGGGGAAGAUAAUGACGGUACCCACAGAAGAAGCCCCGGCUAACUCCGUGCCAGCAGCCGCGGUAAUACGGAGGGGGCUAGCGUUGUUCGGAAUUACUGGGCGUAAAGCGCGCGUAGGCGGAUCUUUAAGUCAGGGGUGAAAUCCUGGGGCUCAACCUCAGAACUGCCCUUGAUACUGAAGAUCUUGAGUCCGGAAGAGGUUAGUGGAAUUCCCAGUGUAGAGGUGAAAUUCGU